UACAGAGGGUGCUAGCGUUGUUCGGAAUUAUUGGGCGUAAAGCGCGUGUAGGCGGCCUUGCAAGUGGGGUGUGAAAGCCCUCGGCUUAACCGAGGAAGUGCGCCCCAAACUGCGAGGCUUGGGUACCGGAGAGGGUGGCGGAAUUCCCGGUGUAGAGGUGAAAUUCGUAGAUAUCGGGGGGAACACCAGUGGCGAAGGCGGCCACCUGGACGGCUACUGACGCUGAGACGCGAAAGCGUGGGGAGCAAACAGG
rnacentral:rRNA from 1 species